rnacentral:rRNA from 1 species
GAUGAACGCUGGCGGCGUGCCUAAUACAUGCAAGUCGAGCGAACAGAUGAGGAGCUUGCUCCUCUGACGUUAGCGGCGGACGGGUGAGUAACACGUGGAUAAGCUACCUAUAAGACUGGGAUAACUUCGGGAAACCGGAGCUAAUACCGGAUAAUAUAUUGAACCGCAUGGUUCAAUAGUGAAAGACGGUUUUGCUGUCACUUAUAGAUGGAUCCGCGCCGCAUUAGCUAGUUGGUAAGGUAACGGCUUACCAAGGCAACGAUGCGUAGCCGACCUGAGAGGGUGAUCGGCCACACUGGAACUGAGACACGGUCCAGACUCCUACGGGAGGCAGCAGUAGGGAAUCUUCCGCAAUGGGCGAAAGCCUGACGGAGCAACGCCGCGUGAGUGAUGAAGGUCUUCGGAUCGUAAAACUCUGUUAUUAGGGAAGAACAAAUGUGUAAGUAACUAUGCACGUCUUGACGGUACCUAAUCAGAAAGCCACGGCUAACUACGUG